rnacentral:piRNA from 1 species
UUUCAAAUUUUGAAUCGAACU